GAUGAACGCUGGCGGCGUGCCUAAUACAUGCAAGUCGAGCGAACGGACGAGAAGCUUGCUUCUCUGAUGUUAGCGGCGGACGGGUGAGUAACACGUGGAUAACCUACCUAUAAGACUGGGAUAACUUCGGGAAACCGGAGCUAAUACCGGAUAAUAUUUUGAACCGCAUGGUUCAAAAGUGAAAGACGGUCUUGCUGUCACUUAUAGAUGGAUCCGCACUGCAUUAGCUAGUUGGUAAGGUAACGGCUUACCAAGGCAACGAUGCAUAGCCGACCUGAGAGGGGGUUCGGCCACACGGGAACUGAGACACGGUCCAGACUCCGACGGGAGGCAGCAGUAGGGAAUCUUCCGAAAUGGGCGAAAGCCUGACGGAGCAACGCCGCGUGAGUGAUGAAGGUCUUCGGAUCGUAAAACUCUGUUAUUAGGGAAGAACAUAUGUGUAAGUAACUGUGCACAUCUUGACGGUACCUAAGCAGAAAGCCACGGCUACCUACGU
rnacentral:rRNA from 1 species